GACGGAGGGCGCGGGCGUUAUUCGUUUUGAUUGGGUGUAAAGGGUACGUAGGCGGCUUCUGGUGUUUUGGCAAAAAUUGCGGAGUGUUCCUACGCAAUUGCCUUUUAUAAUGGGAGCUUGUGUUAGGGAAAGGUUGGGGCAAGUUCUCAAAUAGGGGUAAAAUCCUACGAUAUGAGAACGAACGUCAGCUGGCGAAGGCGCCUUUCUAGUCCUAACAGACGCUAAGGUACGGAAGCUUAGGGCGCAAACGGG
rnacentral:rRNA from 1 species